rnacentral:rRNA from 1 species
UACGUAGGGGGCAAGCGUUAUCCGGAAUUAUUGGGCGUAAAGGGCUCGUAGGCGGUUUGUCGCGUCGGGAGUGAAAACCCAGGGCUUAACCCUGGGCUGGCUUCCGAUACGGGCAGACUAGAGGUAUGCAGGGGAGAACGGAAUUCCUGGUGUAGCGGUGAAAUGCGCAGAUAUCAGGAGGAACACCGGUGGCGAAGGCGGUUCUCUGGGCAUUACCUGACGCUGAGGAGCGAAAAGUGUGGGGGAGCGAACAGG